GUGGAAGGAAACCGUGACCUAGGACAAGCUGAUGGCAUAAAAUAUUUGUGGAGGGGAAUUGGAAGCAGGAAAUCGCUGCACGUCAGCAGGUGAAAAGAAAAGAGAGGGAGGAAGUUAAGUUGGACGUGUGUGUGUGUGUGUGUGUGUGUGUGUGUCACAGAGAUCACACAGCUGAGGCAUGUGGAGGUGUACAGCACAUAGGUGUUUUGACUGACAGCUUCUAGCUGUAAUCACGUGUAUGAUUGUUUCCACAUGUGAAACGGAUGUAAAAAUGAUUGGAUGAAAAAUCCCCCCGUGGCCGGCAGUCUGAAUAAAGGCUGUGAAGUCGUGUCAACAUGGUUUCAGUUAUCCUGCAGGAAACAGAUGGUCUACAACAGCAGAAGACUACAUCAGGUCCCACUCCUGUCAACUAAGACAGCACAGGCUCACCAAAUUGGAAAUUAGAAGACUGGAAAAACAAUAUGAGCAACAUUCAGAAGGGAAGCACGUUUUCUUUCUGGCUGCUUCUCUGUGGUCUGACCAGGAACUAACUCAUCCUUAUUCUAGAAAGUGAACCACAACAUGUGGCAACAGAGCCCACAAACAUGAGCUCAUUCCUCUUGAGGGGAAACUAGCAACUGAAAAAAACAGAGAUAGAAAGAG